CCUACGGGGGGCUGCAGUGGGGAAUAAUGGACAAUGGGGGCAACCCUGAUCCAGCCAUGCCGCGUGUGUGAAGAAGGCCCUCGGGUUGUAAAGCACUUUCAGUGAGGAAGAACGCCUGGUGGUUAAUACCCAUCAGGAAAGACAUCACUCACAGAAGAAGCACCGGCUAACUCCGUGCCAGCAGCCGCGGUAAUACGGAGGGUGCGAGCGUUAAUCGGAAUUACUGGGCGUAAAGCGCGCGUAGGUGGCUUGAUAAGCCGGUUGUGAAAGCCCCGGGCUCAACCUGGGAACGGCAUCCGGAACUGUCAAGCUAGAGUGCAGGAGAGGAAGGUAGAAUUCCCGGUGUAGCGGUGAAAUGCGUAGAGAUCGGGAGGAAUACCAGUGGCGAAGGCGGCCUUCUGGACUGACACUGACACUGAGGUGCGAAAGCGUGGGUAGCAAACAGGAUUAGAUACCCCAGUAGUC
rnacentral:rRNA from 1 species